AUUGAACGCUGGCGGCAGGCCUAACACAUGCAAGUCGAACGGUAACAGGAAGAAGCUUGCUUCUUUGCUGACGAGUGGCGGACGGGUGUGUAAUGUCUGGGAAACUGCCUGAUGGAGGGGGAUAACUACUGGAAACGGUAGCUAAUACCGCAUAACGUCGCAAGACCAAAGAGGGGGACCUUCGGGCCUCUUGCCAUCGGAUGUGCCCAGAUGGGAUUAGCUAGUAGGUGGGGUAACGGCUCACCUAGGCGACGAUCCCUAGCUGGUCUGAGAGGAUGACCAGCCACACUGGAACUGAGACACGGUCCAGACUCCUACGGGAGGCAGCAGUGGGGAAUAUUGCACAAUGGGCGCAAGCCUGAUGCAGCCAUGCCGCGUGUAUGAAGAAGGCCUUCGGGUUGUAAAGUACUUUCAGCGGGGAGGAAGGGAGUAAAGUUAAUACCUUUGCUCAUUGACGUUACCCGCAGAAGAAGCACCGGCUAACUCCGUG
rnacentral:rRNA from 1 species